UGACGUGGACGCUNGCCUCAAGGAUUAAGCCAUGCAAGCCAGCGAAGGAAGCGGAGCGGCGAACGGCUCAGUACGACAAGGGGAUCUGACCACAUAUUAGGAUAACCGCGGUAAGCUGCGGCUAAUACUAUAGUGGGUGACACUUUGGCCUAUUAGCUAGGCGGUACGGUAAGUGCGUACCGUGGCGAUGAUGGGUAACGGGGAAUCGGGGUUUGAUUCCGGAGAGGGAGCCUGAGAGAUGGCUGCCACGUCCAAGGACGGCAGCAGGCGCGGAACUUACCCACUUGGAGGACCAGAGGUAGUGACGAGGCGUGUUUAUGRGGAGAGACCAAAGAUCUUUCYGAAGGCGAUUAGAGGGCAAGUCUGGUGCCAGCAGCCGCRKUAAUUCCAGCUCUAAGAGCGUCUGUGUGCAUUGCUGCAGUUAAAAAGUGCGUAGUCGGGCGGUACGCCAGCAGGAAAGGYRCGGUCUCAAACCGUGCACUUUGUUGGUACGUACGCCUAGGGACCGGAGUGGGGCAAUGUUAUUCGGGAGCGAGGGGUGAAAACUGAUGACCUUCCGAGGRGCGACAGRGGCGAAAGCGGUUGUCCAAUACGGGUCCGACGAUCAAGCACGUGAGCGGGAGUAUCGAAGGCGAU
rnacentral:rRNA from 1 species